CGCAUGCUGCGUUUGAUGAGGCGGGAGUUGGAAACGUAAAUAUGGGAAUUUGGAUUGAGGACCAUCAUGAAAGUGAUGGAUAAGCCAUCAAACCCUAAAGUAGGCGCGCCAGCUCUCGACCCUAC
rnacentral:autocatalytically_spliced_intron from 1 species